GCCUGGGUGGCUCAGUCCGUUAAGCGUCUGACUUCGGCUCAGGUCAUGAUGUCAUGGUCCAUGAGUUCGAACCCCGUAUCAGGCU
rnacentral:tRNA from 1 species